UACGGAGGGGGCUAGCGUUGUUCGGAAUUACUGGGCGUAAAGCGCACGUAGGCGGCUUUGUAAGUUAGAGGUGAAAGCCCAGGGCUUAACCCUGGAAUUGCCUUUAAGACUGCAUCGCUAGAAUCGUGGAGAGGUGAGUGGAAUUCCGAGUGUAGAGGUGAAAUUCGUAGAUAUUCGGAAGAACACCAGUGGCGAAGGCGGCUGACUGGACAUGUAUUGACGCUGAGGUGCGAAAGCGUGGGGAGCAAACAGG
rnacentral:rRNA from 1 species